GUCACCCCCUAAGGGGGGUCGAGCGCCGCUUCCGGAUAAUAAUAAAGUUGUUUGCCUGCCUGCCUGCCUGUACUGAAAGACGUAAUAUGAUUGUGG
rnacentral:lncRNA from 1 species